AGCGGCGGACGGGUGAGUAACGCGUGGGUAACCUGCCUCAUACAGGGGGAUAACAGUUGGAAACGGCUGCUAAUACCGCAUAAGCGCACAGUACCGCAUGGUACGGUGGUAAAAACUCCGGUGGUAUGAGAUGGACCCGCGUCUGAUUAGGUAGUUGGUGAGGUAACGGCCCACCAAGCCGACGAUCAGUAGCCGACCUGAGAGGGUGACCGGCCACAUUGGGACUGAGACACGGCCCAA
rnacentral:rRNA from 1 species